AUUGAACGCUGGCGGCAUGCCUUACACAUGCAAGUCGAACGGCAGCGGACCUUCGGGUGCCGGCGAGUGGCGAACGGGUGAGUAAUGCAUCGGAACGUACCUUUCAGUGGGGGAUAACGUAGCGAAAGUUACGCUAAUACCGCAUAUUCUGUGAGCAGGAAAGCAGGGGAUCGCAAGACCUUGCGCUGAUUGAGCGGCCGAUGUCAGAUUAGCUAGUUGGUGAGGUAAAGGCUCACCAAGGCGACGAUCUGUAGCGGGUCUGAGAGGAUGAUCCGCCCAACGGGAACUGAGACACGGUCCAGACUCCUACGGGAGUCAGCAGUGGGGAACUUUGGACAAUGGGGGCAACCCUGAUCCAGCCAUGCCGCGUGAGUGAAGAAGGCCUUCGGGUUGUAAAGCUCUUUCGGCCGGGAAGAAAUCGCACGGGCUAAUACCCUGUGUGGAUGACGGUACCGGAAUAAGAAGCACCGGCUAACUACGUGCCAGCCGCCGCCGUAACAC
rnacentral:rRNA from 1 species